GACGAACGCUGGCGGCGUGCUUAACACAUGCAAGUCGAACGAACAGGCCCGGCUCUUGUGGGGUGCUCGUUUGGCGCACGGGUGAGUAACACGUGAGUAACCUGCCCUUGACUGUGUGAUAUCUUCAGGAGACUGGGGCUCAUACCGGAUAUGAGCUCCUGCUGCAUGGUGGUGGUUGGUAAGAUUCGGCGGUUGGGGAUGGACUCGAGGCUUAUCAGCUUGUUGGUGGGGUAGGGGCUUACCAAGGCUGUGAAGGGUAGCCGGCCUGAGAGGGUGACCGGCCACAUGGGGACUGAGAGACGGCCCAGACUCCUACGGGAGGCAGCAGUGGGGAAUAUUGCACAAUGGGCGGAAGCCUGAUGCAGCAACGCCGGGUGCGGGAUGACGGCCUUCGGGUUGUAAACCGAUGUCGCCUGUGACGAGGCGUGAGUGACGGUAAUGGGUAAAGAAGCACCGGCUAACUACGUG
rnacentral:rRNA from 1 species